rnacentral:lncRNA from 1 species
UAGGGCAAGUACAUUGCUACACGUCAGCUGUCUCAUAGUUCGUUUCAUGCAGUGCCACGUAGGAUUUUUGAUGAUGUGGAGGAGAGAGAAAGAGGUCGUUGCUUCGCGAAACAACGACCUCAUGAGCUAAAUUGUAGGACUACGAGACAACUUAACAACCAUUGUACGAGUUAUUGUUGCCAUGCAAUUUAUAAUAUUUUAUUUUUCUUAUGCACAAAUUAAG